UGAAGCCCAGAACCUCAACAUGUCGUUCCCGGCUUCACCUACACCCUUAUCACAAAACAGAAGUCUAUAUAUAAUUACUAUGUAUUUGAAGGGGCCUUUUAUUUGAAGUGGUGCAUUUCUUUCCUUUUUGUGCAGUUACAAGUCAUUUUUAGAAAACCCUUAUGCUAAAACUUUUCAUUGUAUUUCUAAUUACACCAAUUUACUUUUGUAGGGACUGAAAUAUAGCAACACACCUAAUGACUUCCUUUAAUACCAUUGAAGGAGACUUCAGUAGACGGCCUCUUGAAACAAAGGCCAUCCCAACCCCAUCUAAUGUCUUUAAAAAUGGUAUAGUUCCUGAAGAAAUAGCAUAUAAACAUUUAAACCACCAUUCCACCUGGCCCAGUUGUUACAGCAAAGCAAAUAGUAAGCUAUUUAAGAUGCACAGAUUUUAGUGUUGAGAGACACUUAGACCACUGUUGUGUGACCAGUUAUCUUUUAUAAUAAAGAAAAUUGAAUUUUCUUAGCAGUGAUGCUAUUCUUUAUUCUGUGAAACCAUCAGCCAGUAUAUUUUUAUGGCAAAAACAUCCUGAUUCUAUGUAAUUAUGGGAGAGAUGCACAUCUUGGAAGAACACUGCUGAACGUCAUCCUGGGGUUAUGUCUACACUGUUUUGGCAAAUAAUAAGCCAGUACAAAAUCACUG
rnacentral:lncRNA from 1 species